GCGUGAGCCGGAAAGAGCAGAAGAUAUUUUGAAACUAUAUAAACCAAGAAUACUUUAUUAUGAAUUGAAAAAAAGUUAAAAGUCUAUAGAACUACAAAGUUUACACGAAUGUAACGAACUACACAAAGUGUCAUGUGACCAUGUAUUCAAAAACUUGAUGAAAUAUUGAAAGAAAAUAAAGUUGAAAGGCAAGCGUAUCAUGGAAAAUGUUUUGUUGGAAACCAUGUUCAUAAAAUGUUUAAGAUUUAGCAAUAAAAGAACUCAUGGAACUUUAUAGAUUCACAUGGCCGGAUUCAUCUGUAACACCAAAAAUGCAUUUACUAGAAAAUCAUAUAUAUAAGCUUAUUGAAAAAUGGCGAUUAGGAAUUGGUGUUUAUAGUGAACAAGGUGGUGAAAAUUUACACGCUGAUUUCAAAAAUCUCAAUUGAUUAUUCUGGGACAUAAAGGGUUGUAGUCGGCCUGAAAGCACUAUAAAAGAACAUUUUAUUUGAAAUCACCCGAAAGAAAAAGAUAUAAAA